CUCCAACUAGAUCAGGACAUCUCCCUUGCUUUCUCUCAAUUGCAGCCCAUGUUUAUUUCCUUUAUAGCACUUAAUGCUAUUUGUUGCAAUUAUUUGAUUUAUUUGUUGGCUCAUUUAUCUGAUUGCAGGUUCCUCCCAAGAGAAUGUAAGACCCAUGAAAGAAGUGCUUUAUCUGCCCUUUCUACCUUCAUAUCCCCAGAACUGAAGAAAGUAUCUGUCACUAAGCACCCAAUAAAUAUCUAGUGAAUGAAUGACAAGCAUCAAUUAAUAUUAUUUAAGGUGCAAGAUACACAUUGAAGAACUUAUGAACAGAUUCCUUGCUCAGGGGAGUAACCAGGUUCUAACCUGGCAGUGCAAUCUCUGGGGCAGACUGCUGUUCUGAAUGGAGUGAGGUAUGACCACCCUGAAAAGCACACACCUGCUGAUGGAUGGGGAUCCAAGAACACAGCACAGAGAAGCUAGCUUGGCUCCAGUGCCCUGUUCCUUCCUUCCCUCCUCCCUACACACCCAAGGAACACCUGCUCUGGAAGUCUUCCCUGGCAGUGAGUGAGCAGAGCCCUCAGAACAUUAGAUGCAUGCAAAUAUGAAGAUGCUGACUCCCUCCAGAGCUCUUUCCCAUGAAGAACACAGGAGGCAAUAUCCUCAGGACAAGAGCCCAAGACACUGGGAUAUGAAUCAACUUCCUCUUGAGUGAGUUCAAGAGUUUGGAACAAUAAACUCAUAUCAUUAAAAUUAAAUAGAUUUAAAUAGCUCAAGCAUAUAUAGUAUUUCCAAUUGGGCCUUUGUCAUCCAAUAUUCCUCCAUAUCUAAAAAGUAUUACACAUAUAUGUUAAUAAUUACAUACAGAAACAUGCAAUGUGCAUACACACACAAAUCCUCUUGACUUGUAAUGGGAUUAUGUCCUAAUAAUCCCACAAUAAGUUGAAAAUAGUAUAAAAUGAAAACACAUUUAAUACCUAUAGCCUACUGAACAUCUUAGUUUAUCAACAUACCACACAGUGGAGUAUUGGUCCUUUACCCUCACAAUACAGUGGCUAACUUGGAAUUGUGACUCAAUACCACCACCAGCAUCAGGAGAGAGUAGCCUACCACAAUUGCUAGCUGGAAAAAAGAUCAAAGGUAUAGUUUGCGGUAUAGUUUCUACUGAAUAUAUAUUGCUUUCCUAUCAUUGUAAAGGCAAAAAUUGCAAGUUGAAGCAUUGUUAAGUCUCAAGUCAGGGACCAUCUGUGUGUGUGUGUGUGUGUGUGUGUAGUUGUCUCUUAGUACACACAGGUAUUGGUUUCUCAGAUACAAAAAAUUCAUAGAUGCUCAAGUCCCUUAUAUACAAUGAUGCAGUAUUUGCAUACAAUGCACACACAUCUUCUAAGUAUAUUUUAAAUCAUCUCUAGAUACUUAUACCACACAAUACAAUGUAAACAAUAUGUAAAUAGUUAUUAUGUUGUAUUGUUUAGGGAAUAAUGACAAGGAAAAAAGUGUACACCUUUAGUACAGGACUGUUGUUAAAAAAUGUUUUCAAUUUGCAGUUGGUUGAAUCCAUAGAUGCAGAACCUGUACCUGCA